AUGGACGACCCGCACUUCCUCGUCGGCACCCCCAGGAGCGAGUUGCUCGCCAAGAUGGAGCGCGAAGGCCGGGACCCUGCGACGCUCGACGUCGGCAUAAACUUGGUGCUCUAUUUCGUCUACGACUACCUCCCCGACCCGCCCGUCUCCCCCGCCCCCACCACCACCCUCUCGCUCGCCGGCGCGUCCUGGGUCUCCGACGGCGUCGACCGCAUCAGCCGCCUCCCCGAUGUGCUCCUCCGCGACAUCAUCUCCCGCCUCCCCGCCAAGGACGCCGCGCGCACCGCCGCCCUCUCCUCGCGCUGGCGCCCAAUCUGGCGCUCGGCGCCCCUCGCUCUUGUCGACAGUCAUCUGCUUCCGGACGGCGGCGCGGCCGGGCAGUUCACCAUCGGCGCCCCCUCUCCCCGCGCCGUCACCGACGCGGUGUCCCGCGUCCUCGCGGCGCACCCGGGCCCCUUCCGCUGCGUGCACCUCACACGCACCAUCAUGGAGGAGCACCGGGGCGAGAUGGCGCGCUGGCUCGACAUCCUCGUCGCCAAGGGGGUUCAAGAACUCGUCUUUGUCAACCGCCCUUGGCCGCUAGACUUGCGCCUCCCCGCCACCAUCUUCAGCUGCUCCUCACUCACCCGUCUCUAUCUCGGCGUCUGGAGGAUCCCGGACACCGCCGCCGUACCGCGCGGCGCCAGAUUCCCCAACCUCCUGGAGCUCGGCCUCUGCAUGACUGUCAUGGAGGACCACGAUCUGGCAUUCAUGCUUGAAAGAAGCCCCGUCCUGGAGUCCCUCAUCAUCAUGGGGAGCCAGACCGGAGUGCGCCUGCGCCUCGUCAGCCAAAGCGUGCGGUGCGUUCAGCUGGGAUAUACCUACUUGGAGGACAUCGAGGUGGUGGAUGCACCUUGCCUGGAGAGGCUCUUCCAGUCGGAUAAUUUUUGCCAGAGCGAGCUCACUGGCCCCAGCAUGAAGAACUGCUCUUCCAAGAUCAAGAUUGGGCGUGCACCUAACCUGCGUGUGCUGGGAUACAUUCGGCCAGGAGAGCAAGAGUUGGGGAUUAGCAACACCAUCAUCGUGGCUGGGGCCAAGGAGAGCAUCGUGCCUACUGUCCAGAUUUUGGCCAUAGAGGUGCAAUUCGGUUGCCGCAAUUCUGUCAAGAAAGUGCCUGGUUUUCUCAGAUGCUUUCCUAACCUGAAGACCCUCCAUGUCCAGUCCCCACGCAUACCUAAAGAUUCCACUGGCAAGGUGAAUCACAAGUUCUGGCAGGAGUGCGGUCCCAUCAAAUGUGUACUGCAGAGCAUGAAGAAGGUGUUCUUCUACGAGUUUCGAGGGUCCAGAAGUGAAGUCGCUUUCCUCAAGUUCAUCGCGGAGAGAGGUCGGGUGCUGGAGCAGAUGGUGGUCGUGGUGGCCAAAGAAUGUUUCUCUCCGGGAGGUGAUGGUGUGAUUGCCAAGCUGAAGCCUCUGAACAGCGCAAAAUGGAACAGCAAAGGUUGCAAACUUGAGCUCUUCAAGAGCCCACUCACUGAUGUGGCAGGUCCAAUUUGCAGCCACCGACAUGCUUCUGACUUCGGGUUUGCUGACCCCUUUGACCUUGAGUACUACUACGAAUCCGAAAUGAUCUCCGUAAGUUAA
rnacentral:rRNA from 1 species